rnacentral:rRNA from 1 species
AUGGUUACAUCCUUAGCGGAUGGUAAAGAGUGGCUGGUUACUUCGGUCUAUGGGCCUCAAGUCAAUUCAGAUAAAGUCAGAUUCCUUGAGGAAAUCGUGGAGAUUGGGAGGGAUGUUCAGUUACCAUGGAUCCUGAAUGGGGAUUUUAAUUUGGUACGUAGUGAAGAUGAACGCAGCACUCAUAGGAUCAAUAGGAGAUUGACUAACAAAUUCAAGCACACCAUUAAUACCCUGGGCCUUCACGACAUGCCACUGGUGGGUAGGAUAUUUACACGGUGUAAUGAUCAAGAACACACUGUGAUGGCCAGAUUGGAUCGUGUUUUGUUUAACAAUGCCUGGGAGGAGAUCUACCCCAUCAGUGACCUGUUGCCACUCAGCUCUAACAUUUCAGAUCACUGCCCUUUACUCCUGACUUGCUCCUUGGACCAGCCGAAAGUUCGCCGCUUUCAGUUUGAGAACUUCUGGGUCAAGUUGCCUGGGUUUAUUGAGACUGUCAAGACAGCCUGGGAGGGGGAAGUUUCUUCGAAUGAUCCCAUGUUAAUUCUCAGUGUCAAGCUACAACGUACUGCCAAAGCUCUCAGAAGUUGGGGACAGAGGAAGCAGAGCUUUAUGAACCUGCAAUUCCAAAUUGCGAAUGAGUUAAUCCUGCAUUUUGAUAGCGCACAGGAGUGUAGAACCCUGUCGGAGGAGGAACGACGCCUUAAAGCCUUUCUGAAGGGCAAAUGCUUGGCAUUUGCCUCUCUAGAAAGAGUUCGGCUGCGCCAGCGAGCAAAAGUACGCGAGUUGCGAGAAGGAGACGCCAAUACUAAAUACUUUCAUCUUAAGGCCAAUGGUCGUCGACGGAAGCACCAGAUUCCUUUUCUUAGAAAUGAUCAGCACACGGCUUCUACUUUGGAAGGAAAACUGGAAAUGGUCAGAGAUUUCUAUAGUUGUCUGAUGGGUGCGCCUGCGCGACUGCAAUCUUCCUUGAAGAUGGAACAAUUAAACCUUCACUCCCUUCCUCCGGACCUUGCAAAUGGUUUAGAAGCGACUUUUACUGACACUGAAGUCAAACAAGUGAUUAUGGAGAUGCCGUCCGAUCGUGCGCCGGGGACGGAUGGCUUCUCGGGUCUCUUUUACAAGGUUUGUUGGGAUAUUAUCGGGAAGGAUUUUAUGGCGGUCAUGCAUGAGCUCCACAGGAGCAAUUUCAACUCUUUUGGUCGACUUAAUUCCUCCAUCAUCACUUUGCUGCCCAAGAAAGAGUGCUCCCUUCAAGUGGCGGAUUUUAGGCCGAUCAACUUAAUCCAUGGGGCUGCUAAAAUCUUUGCUAAAGUCUUGUCUGUGCGUCUUGCCCCCCUGCUACCGACUCUCAUCUCACAAGUUCAGAGUGCGUUCACCACUCGGAGGAGCAUACAUGAGAACUUUAAAUUUGUUCGCAACGCUGCCAGACUAAUCCAUCGCAAGAAAUCCCCGGCUGUACUUAUGAAGCUUGAUAUUUCCAAAGCUUUUGAUACGUUGUCAUGGGAAUUCAUCAUACAGAUUCUGACAAGGCAAGGCUUUGGCAGACGCUGGUGUUCUUAG